rnacentral:rRNA from 1 species
AACCUGGUUGAUCCUGCCAGUAGUGAUAUGCUUGUCUCAAAGAUUAAGCCAUGCAUGUCUGAGUACAGACCGAUCUAAGGUGAAACCGCGAAUGGCUCAUUAAAUCAGUCAUAAUUCCUUGGAUAGUGACAAACUUCCUCGGAUAACUGUGGAAAAUCCAGAGCUAAUACGUGCAACUGAGCUCCGACCUAGACGCGAGUCUUAUGGGAAGAGCGCAUUUAUUAGAUUCAAAACUGACCGGCGUACUCCUUCGGGAUGCGCCGUUUGUCGAAUGUUUGAUGACUCCGGAUAACUUAGCCGAGCGCUACGGUCUUCGUACCGGCGCCGUAUCUUUCAAGUGUCUGCCUUAUCAGCUUUCGAUUGUAGGUUAAACGCCUACAAUGGCUGUAACGGGUAACGGGGAAUCAGGGUUCGAUUCCGGAGAGGGAGCCUGAGAAACGGCUACCACAUCUAAGGAAGGCAGCAGGCACGCAAAUUACCCACUCCCAGCCCGGGGAGGUAGUGACGAAAAAUAACGAUGCGAGACUCUUCCGAGGCCUCGCAAUCGGAAUGAGUCCAUUUUAAAUCCUUGGACGAGGAUCCAUUGGAGGGCAAGUCUGGUGCCAGCAGCCGCGGUAAUUCCAGCUCCAAUAGCGUAUAUUAAAGUUGCUGCGGUUAAAAAGCUCGUAGUUGGACUUCCUAGAUCCAUUUCGCGAACGAGUCGCUCGUUGAGCUAGCGUUUCGUGUCAGUCACUCGAUGACGUCGAGGUGUAGGCGGCGAGCCUCUGCCGAUCGUUUUUACGACGAUUUCGCGCGACUAUCGCGUGUGCGUUGGGUUGCAUUUGAUGUGCCUUUCGUAUCGUGUAUCGUUGCGAGUCGUUGGCGAAAGGUGUAGGUUAGGCUCGUCCGCGUCGCUUCGUGCGGAAUCUUGCGGACGGCGAGACGUUGUCUUCGAGUAUUGCUCGUCCGCGUUUGGUACAAUUAAAAUUUUGUCGGCUCGCUCGGAGUGCUCUUUACCGAGUGUUCCAGGGUGGCCGACACGUUCACUUUGAAAAAAUUAGAGUGCUUAAAGCGGGGCCUUAUAUGCGGCCUGAAUGUCUGUGCAUGGAAUGAAGUAACAGGACCUCGAUUCUGUUUUUUUUGUCGGUUUUAUUGAACCGAGGUAAUGAUUAAAAGGGACAGACGGUGGCAUUAGUAUUGCGGCGCUAGAGGUGAAAUUCUUGGACCGCUGCAAGACUAACUACUGCGAAAGCGUUUGCCGAGAAUGUUUUCAUUAAUCAAGAACGAAAGUUAGAGGAUCGAAGGCGAUCAGAUACCGCCCUAGUUCUAACCCUAAACUAUGCUAACUAGCGAUCCGCCGGAGUCAUUCCCACGACCCGGCGGGAAGCCCCAGGGAAACCAAAGUCUUUGAGUUCCGGGGGAAGUAUGGUUGCAAAGCUGAAACUUAAAGGAAUUGACGGAAGGGCACCACCAGGAGUGGAGCCUGCGGCUUAAUUUGACUCAACACGGGAAACCUCACCAGGCCCGGACAUCAUAAGGAUUGACAGGUUGAGGGCUCUUUCUCGAUUUGAUGGGUGGUGGUGCAUGGCCGUUCUUAGUUGGUGGAGUGAUCUGUCUGGUUGAUUCCGAUAACGAACGAGACUCUACCCUACUAACUAGUCGGCGGAUCUUAACCCUGCAGAUGGUUAGUUCGUAUAGGGCGGUUGUACGUAGAUGCGGAUCGUGGCGUCGGCGUCUAGUAGCGUCGUGUCGAGGAUUUCUCGGGUGUGGAGUAUUUCAUCUGCUCGUCAGGUGGAACUUUGCAUAUUACGGGUAUUUUCGUUCGAUAGCGCUAGCGCGUUUGGCGUUCGAUUUUGCGUCGAUGUUUCCGUCUGAUUACCGCUACUGCUGGGGGCGUCCGUCGCAAUGUAUCUUCUUAGAGGGAUCAGCGGCGUAUAGCCGCACGAGAAAGAGCAAUAACAGGUCUGUGAUGCCCUUAGAUGUUCUGGGCCGCACGCGCGCUACAAUGUAGAGACCAGCGUGCUUUCCCCCUCCGAAAGGAGCGGGUAACCCGUUGAAAGCCCUACCCGAUUGGGAUUGGGGAUUGCAAAUAUUUCCCAUAAACGAGGAAUUCCCAGUAAGCGCGAAUCAUUAAUUCGCGCUGAUUACGUCCCUGCCCUUUGUACACACCGCCCGUCGCUACUACCGAUUGAAUGAUUCAGUGAGGGCAUCGGACUGGCGCCUUCGGUUUAGUAACAUAGACCUUAGGCUGACGGAAAGAUGUCCGAACUUGAUCAUUUAGAGGAAGUAA